GUAUACAAAGAUAUGGAAAUGAGAAGCAGUCAUUGUCCUGUGAUCACUGAUUGUUCUUUUAAUAUAAGUUCCCACUUCAAUAUGAUAAGGACACCCCAUUGGGAAGACAAAAAAAUACAGUAGAUAGAGAGAAAGAAAAAAUAAGGCAGUGGUAACUAUGGAAGGUGAUAAUAUGUUAAUUAGUUUAAUUGUGAUUAUUUCACAAUGUGUACAUAUAUCAUAACACUAAGUUGUUCAUCUUAAAUAAUUUUAUUUAUAAAUGAUACCACAAUAAAGCUGGAAAAAUUAGAAAAUACUAUACAUAACUUGAGGAUUCAACUCAAUUUUAAAAAUUUUCUUUGUACUGACAUUUGCCAUUCUGUUUAUUUUUUGAAUAUAUGUGCCCCUCCCUACUCACUUUAUAUGAAAUAAUGUCGUAGGCUGAUGGUUGGGGUGGGAGAGAUGAACCAUUUUCCAUGUUCACACCUGCGGCACCAAAAGCAAAAGAAAGCCUCCAAGGAUCACUAUCAGGAUGCUGGUCCCUGGGACCUUUCCCUGUCAAAGCCCAUCUGCCUUAUUUCUUAAUUUGAUUGAUGAGGAUCUGAUACACUCACUGUCUCCUCUGAGGAGCAAUUGGUUACAUGUAGAGCAUAACAUAAAUAAUUUGAAUCCAUUUUUUCAUAUAUUUUUUAAUUGUUAAGUUUUAUUUUUUUUCAUAGAGAUGGAGUCUUGCUAUGUUGCCCAGCUGUUCUUGAACUCCUGGGCUCAAGAAGUCCUCCUGCCUUGACCUCUCAAAGUGCUGGGAUUACAGGAAUGAACCACUGGGCUUAGCCCCAUUUUUCACCUGUAACCUUAGUUUGUACAAUUGUUGACUUUUCUGUUAGAAAAUAGGGAACCUUCGUAUUUAAAUAACUUUAUAGCAAGUAUUGAAUGUCAAAGGUUAACUUCAAAUAGCAAAUGCUUUUUAGUGUUCCUCUACCCAAUGUAAAAACAACAAAAUUAACCAACUUCCAGAGCAGUAUAAGAAUUCUUAAAGCAUCAUUACACCCUGGCUUUACAUUUUACACUCCAUAUACUGCAAAAAAAAAAAGAAGAUUGUAAGAUGCUAGUAUAACUGAUAAUUAAGCGACCAUUGGUCAACUUGUAAUGAUCAGGGAUGGUUUGGAAGUGGGCAUAGAACCAAUAUUGUUGUAGUAAGAAGUGGUGGCUAUGAGGAUAGGGAGGUAGUGAUGCUGGGUGUGGGCCGAGU
rnacentral:lncRNA from 1 species